CGCCAGCCUUGGUGGAGUCGUCGUUGAAAUACCACCCUUUCGUUGUUUGAAGCCUAACCACUGGAGAAGUGGGACAGUGCUUGGCGGGUAGUUUGACUGGGGUGGUCGCCUCCAAAAGAGUAACGGAGGCUUCCAAAGGUGCCCUCAGCACGCUUGGCAACCGUGCGCAGAGUGCAAUGGCAUAAGGGCGCUUGACUGUGAGGCCGACAAGCCGAUCAGGUGGGAAACCAGGGCAUAGUGAUCCGGUGGCGCUGUAUGGGCAGGCCAUCGCUCAAAGGAUAAAAGGUACUCCGGGGAUAACAGGCUGAUCCUUCCCAAGAGCUCACAUCGACGGGGGGGUUUGGCACCUCGAUGUCGGCUCGUCACAUCCUGGGGCUGGAGAAGGUCCCAAGGGUUGGGCUGUUCGCCCAUUAAAGUGGCACGCGAGCUGGGUUCAGAACGUCGCGAGACAGUUCGGUCUCUAUCUAUUGCGGGCGUUAGAAAUUUGAGGGGAGCUGCCAUUAGUACGAGAGGACCGUGGCGGACGCACCUCUGGUGUACCUGUUGUGGCGCCAGCUGCACCGCAGGGUAGCCAUGUGCGGCAGUGAUAAGCGCUGAAAGCAUAUAAGCGCGAAACAUACCCCGAGAUGAGAUUUCUUUUAAGGGUCGUUCGAGAAGAGGACGUUGAUAGGCUGCAGGUGUACAGGCAGUAAUGUCAUAGCCGAGCAGUACUAAUUACCCGUAGACUUCCUCAA
rnacentral:ncRNA from 1 species